rnacentral:rRNA from 1 species
GAUGAACGCUGGCGGCGUGCCUAAUACAUGCAAGUCGAGCGAACAGACGAGGAGCUUGCUCCUCUGACGUUAGCGGCGGACGGGUGAGUAACACGUGGAUAACCUACCUAUAAGACUGGGAUAACUUCGGGAAACCGGAGCUAAUACCGGAUAAUAUAUUGAACCGCAUGGUUCAAUAGUGAAAGACGGUUUUGCUGUCACUUAUAGAUGUAUCCGCGCCGCAUUAGCUAGUUGGUAAGGUAACGGCUUACCAAGGCGACGAUGCGUAGCCGACCUGAGAGGGUGAUCGGCCACACUGGAACUGAGACACGGUCCAGACUCCUACGGGAGGCAGCAGUAGGGAAUCUUCCGCAAUGGGGGAAAGCCUGACGGAGCAACGCCGCGUGAGUGAUGAAGGUCUUCGGAUCGUAAAACUCUGUUAUUAGGGAAGAACAAAUGUGUAAGUAACUAUGCACGUCUUGACGGUACCUAAUCAGAAAGCCACGGCUAACUACGUG